rnacentral:rRNA from 1 species
GAUGAACGCUGGCGGCGUGCCUAAUACAUGCAAGUCGAGCGAAUGGAUUAAGAGCUUGCUCUUAUGAAGUUAGCGGCGGACGGGUGAGUAACACGUGGGUAACCUGCCCAUAAGACUGGGAUAACUCCGGGAAACCGGGGCUAAUACCGGAUAACAUUUUGAACCGCAUGGUUCGAAAUUGAAAGGCGGCUUCGGCUGUCACUUAUGGAUGGCCCCGCGUCGCAUUAGCGAGCUGGUGAGGUAACGGCGCACCAAGGCAACGAUGCGUAGCCGACCUGAGAGGGUGAUCGGCCACACUGGGACUGAGACACGGCCCAGACUCCUACGGGAGGCAGCAGUAGGGAAUCUUCCGCAAUGGACGAAAGUCUGACGGAGCAACGCCGCGUGAGUGAUGAAGGCUUUCGGGUCGUAAAACUCUGUUGUUAGGGAAGAACAAGUGCUAGUUGAAUAAGCUGGCACCUUGACGGUACCUAACCAGAAAGCCACGGCUAACUACGUGCCAGCCGCCGCGGUAA